AUUGAACGCUGGCGGCAGGCUUAACACAUGCAAGUCGAACGAGUGGCGGACGGGUGAGUAAUGUCUGGGAAUCUGCCUUAUGGAGGGGGAUAACUACGGGAAACUGUAGCUAAUACCGCAUACCAUCAGAUGUGCCCACAUGGGAUUAGGUCGUUGGUGGGGUAACGGCUCACCAAGGCGACGAUCUCUAGCUGGUCUGAGAGGAGGACCAGCCACACUGGGACUGAGACACGGCCCAGACUCCUACGGGAGGCAGCAGUGGGGAAUAUUGGACAAUGGGGGCAACCCUGACGCAGCCAUGCCGCGUGAAUGAAGAAGGCCUUAGGGUUGUAAAGUUCUUUCGGUGGCGAGGCGUUAACUGCAGAAGAAGCACCGGCUAACUCCGUGCCAGCAGCCGCGGUAAUAC
rnacentral:rRNA from 1 species